AGCGAAAGACUAAACAAACUUGGAGAUAGCUGGUUCUCCCCGAAAUAGCUUUAGGGCUAGCGUCAUGCGGACUGUCGCGGAGGUAAAGCACUGGAUAGAUGCGGGCCCGUCGCUGGGUACCAAGUUUAACCAAACUCAGAAUGCCGCGAUAUAGUGCAUGGCAGUCAGGCUGCGACUGAUAAGGGCCGUGGCCGAGAGGGAAACAGCCCGGAACGACAGCUAAGGUCCCCAAUGCGCGCCAAGUGGGAAAGGAAGUCCGAAUGCAUAGACAGCCAGGAGGUUGGCUCAGAAGCAGCCACACCUUCAAAGAGUGCGUAACAGCUCACUGGUCGAGUACUCGGGCACCGACAAUUCAACGGGGCUAAGCGCGCAACCGAAGCUUCGUCACAGUCCUUAAGGACGUGUGGGUAGGGGAGCAUUCCAUGUGGCGACGAAGCGGGGGCGGGAGCCCCCGUGGAGCGGAUGGAAGAGAGAAUGCAGGCAUGAGUAACGGAAAGACGGGUGGGAUCCCCGUCCGCCGAAAGCCUAAGGUUUCCAGGGUAAAGGUAAUCUACCCGGGGGUCAGCCGGCCCCUAAGGCGAGGACGAAGGUCGUAGCCGAUGGGAAACGGGUCAACAUUCCCGUGCCUCGCAGCGGAACGAUGGAGGGAAGCAUAGGGUGAAAGGUCGCCGGGCGUCGGUAGUCCCGGUCGAAUGGGCGAGCCAGUGAGGGUGCGAGUCAAACGCCGCACCCGAGGUGAGCCCGGAGGGAGGGCCCCUACGGGGGACCGAAGGACGCGUAGCCGUCGUGCCAGGAAACACCUUCUAAGUAUAUGCGCUGCGGGACCGUACUACAAACCGACACAGGUGGGCAAGCUGAGAAAGCAGAGGCGCUCGGAAGAACUCGCGUUAAGGAACUCGGCAAAAUGCAUACGUAACUUCGGGAGAAGUAUGGCCCACGGGGAGGCCCGUGGGCUGCAGAGAAAUGGCCCAAGCAACUGUUUACCAAAAACACAGGUCCAUGCGAACCAGCAAUGGGAAGUAUAUGGGCUGACACCUGCCCGGUGCUGGAAGGUCAAGGGGAGCCGUCAGAGCGAUCGAAGCGGCGAACUCAAGCCCCAGUAAACGGCGGCCGUAACUAUAACGGUCCUAAGGUAGCGAAAUUCCUUGUCGGGUAAGUUCCGACCCGCACGAAUGGUGUAAUGAUUUGGGCACUGUCUCAACGCGAGAUCCGGUGAAAUUGAAGUCCAGGUGAAGAUGCCUGGUGACUGCAGUUAGACGGAAAGACCCCGUGAACCUUUACUCCAACUUGGUGCUGAGGAUUGGACCGGCAUGUGUAGGAUAGGUGGGAGGCGGAGAUCCGUGCCCGUCAGGGUGCGGGGAGCCGGCGGUGAAAUACCACCCUUGCCGAUUCAAUUCUCUAACGGCCGCCGUGAUCCGGCGUCCGGACAGCGCCAGGCGGGGAGUUUGACUGGGGCGGUCGCCUCCCAAAGUGUAACGGAGGCGCGCGAAGGUCACCUUAGGAUGGUUGGGAAUCAUCCGGCAAGUGUAAAGGCACAAGGUGGCUUGACUGCGAGACUGACAGGUCGAGCAGGUACGAAAGUAGGUCUUAGCGAUCUGGCGG
rnacentral:rRNA from 1 species